AGAGAUGUUCUGGUGACAAAAGGUGAUGUAUGCAUAUCUAUUUCGUCGUCGGCUCCCCAUUGCUGCAGCAAUCACCUAGUAUAUAUUGGAUCAAAGACCAAAAUUUUAUAAAGAAAAUGAUCCUUAUUAAAAGCUAUGCAUGAUCCAAUAUCAUUUACAAGAGAACACACAAUUUAAUAAUUCACCGUGAAUAUUUGAUUCAUGCUUUAACAUGCGAUUCCAUUCAUAAAAUAGAAAAACGAUUUACGAUUUCACAACCUUGGGCCACAUAGUAUUUGUAUGACCCGACCACGUCGUAGCACCGCCCGGCCUUGGACCAACCGAAACGUCAUCCUUCUAUCACACGGACAGAUGACCCUCUUAUAAUUCUGAAUCUGAAAAUGAAAAGCAGUUCCUUCCCUAAAUCAAACAACACAGAUGAACAAGGAAGACAUUCUGAAUCUGAAAAGCAGUUCCUUUCCUAAAUCAAACAACACAGAUGAACCAGGAAGACAUCUCGAGUCUGAAAACCAGUUCCUUUCUAAAACGAAACAACACAGAUGAACAAGGAAGACAGAUGAUCCUUUUCUAUUCUGAAUCUGGAAAGCAGUUCCUUUCCUAAAUCAAACAACACAGUUGAACAAGGAAGACAGAUGACCCUCUUCUAUUCCGAAUCUGAAAAGCGGUUCCUUUCCUAAAUCAAACACAAUUAAACAAGGAAGUUAGGCUAUCAUAUAAAGUGCAUAAACUCUUCAGAUCCAUUCAUUGUCAACAGAAUUCUGUGUUCACUCGCUCUUUCUUCUUUUUAAUACCCAAUCCGGUGGAUCUCAUGGACAAGCAAUUAGCAUCAGGAUCAGCACCAGCAAAGGCAGCCGGGAGAAGUGAAAGACAACGCCCACCGAAUCCAAAGGCAGCACCUUGGCUUGUUUUUCCACAUGGAAAAGGUAGGAAAUUUCAGAGCUUUUACAAUCCUUGUGAACCCAAUAAUAGAAAUUGCAUGAAGUCUAUACCGGAGUUGAAAGGAAGAGCAUAUUUUCAUAAACCUUCUCAUAAUGUUGAAGAUAAAGCUGCGUAUUCUGUGGAUAUCUCUAAUUUAGAUGAUUGUUUCUUGUGGAACCCUGUAUCAUCCCAAACUAUAUAAUUACCUAAACUUAAUCUUCAGUCUUUUAGUAUCCAAUCAGAUCAAUAUUUUUUGUAUGACUUAGUGUUAUCCUCGCCACCUCUGAGUAUUACUUCUGGUCAUCACAACCUAGGCUGCCUGGUUUGCCUCCUUUUUAAACAUGUUGACCAUCCAAAAAUUACCGAGGAUAUGCACGUACUAGCUUUUUGUCGACUUGGAGACAGUCAAUGGAGAACAAAGUUCUUGUCUGUAGUAGAUCCUACCGAUAUAUGUACUCCACUGUCUAUUACGUCCCUGCUUUGCGUUGAAGGUAAGCUAUACGCGUUCUGUAAGAAUUCCCUUGAAGACGGUUGGGUUAUACGGAUCGAAUUACUAGGACUAUGUCAUCAGUCCUUCCAAUAUGAAAGGCUAGAAAGCAGAUAUAUCGAAAUAAUUAAGCUAGAGCACGCCCACUUUACAUGGAUGGGAGCAGGUGAGGAAUUCAGUCGUAGAACAUUGGAUUGAAUCUGGUAAUGAAAUCUUCAAAGUUCAUUUGAAUUGCAGUCCAAGAGGUUUCAAAAAAGUUGCCUCGACACAUAUCUUCAAGCUGGAUUUCUCAUCAAUGACUUGGGUUUUGUUGAAAUCUUUGGAUGAUCAUGUUCUCGUUUUGUGCUCAAACAUGGACAUAUUAGACUCUAGAAAGUGUUAUUCAACUUCCACAGCAUGUUGCUCCGCGGCCGACAUGGGUCUUGAAAGGGGUUGCUUGUUUUAUACACUACUCGGAGAUCAAACGUUGUACACAUUUGAAGUUGAAGACAAUGCUACUACAGUUAUCUUGCCAUGUUUGAAUCUUCCAACUCCGUGGUUCUACCCACUUGGAUAAUGAUGCCUACAACAGAAAACAGGCACCUUGCUGGAAGAAGGGGAAGAAUAACAGAUCUUCUUCUAAGCCCAGAUACAACUGAAACCAGUUUAGAAGAGGAGAAAAUGAGCAGGCUAAAUAUUAGAAGAGGAGAAUUAGAAGCCUUUAAACAGUGGGAUUUUCUUAAUCAUUAUGACAUGCUAAAUAUUAGAGGAGGAGAAUUAGAAGCCUUAAAACAGUGGGAUUUUCUUACAGGGGUUAGUCCACGAGUGAGUUGGAGGGAGUUUAAUGUAUUUUGAAUCUUGGGGAUUUUGAGGGAGUGUAAGAGAGUAUAGGGAGUUUGAGAGAGUUUGGUGUGUUGAGUGUAGGGAGUUUGAGAGACUCUCCCAAAAUCUCUACUUUUUUGAGAGAUUUGGAGUGAGGCAAAAAUACACUAUAAACUCCCUAUAACUCCAAAAAAAAAACAAACUUCCUAUCA